CGUCUAUAUACGUAUAGCAUAUCAAUAAGCGGAGGAAAAGAAACUAACUAGGAUUCCCUCAGUAACGGCGAGUGAAGCGGGAAGAGCUCAAAUUUGAAAUCUUCAAGGUUCUACCUUGACGAAUUGUAGUUUAAAGAAGUGUUUUCUGUUGGAGUUUUGGUAAAAGUUCUUUGGAAUAGGACAUCAUAGAGGGUGAGAAUCCCGUAUUUGACCAUUAUUUCCAACUUUGUGAUACACUUUCAAAGAGUCGGAUUGCUUGGGAAUGCAGUCCAAAAUGGGUGGUAAAUUUCAUCUAAAGCUAAAUACUGGCGAGAGACCGAUAGCGAACAAGUACCGUGAGGGAAAGAUGAAAAGAACUUUGAAAAGAGAGUUAAACAGUACGUGAAAUUGUCAAAAGGGAAGCGUUUGACACCAGUGUUGUUUUCUCGAAAAUCAAUUAAAAAUGGCGGGAUUUUGUGUUGUAUUGACUUUAUCAGCUUUCUGCACUUUUUUCCUUGUCUUUUUUAAUGCACUUUUCGUUUAACAAGUCAACAUCAAUUUCUUUUGUUGUAAAAGGGUCAUUGGAAGGUGGCUUUUCUUUUCGGAGAAAAGUGUUUAUAGCCUUUGGCUUCUGCAAUCGGAGAGAUUGAGGUCUGCAGCGUAGAUCCUUCGGGGUUAGAUACAUUUGUGCUAAGCUAUAGCCUUUCAUAGACAACUUGUUGACUAUGAUCAGUCAUGUAGCUUACUCGCUUAUGCUAUUUUACCUACGCUUAGGAUGUUGACGAUCAGCUGAGCGCG
rnacentral:rRNA from 1 species